AGGUUAAGUGAAUAAGGGCGCACGGUGGAUGCCUUGGCACUAGGAGCCGAUGAAGGACGGGACUAACACCGAUAUGCUUCGGGGAGCUG
rnacentral:rRNA from 1 species